UGCCAGCCGCCGCGGUAAUACAGAGGGUGCAAGCGUUAAUCGGAAUUACUGGGCGUAAAGCGCGCGUAGGUGGUUUGUUAAGUUGAAUGUGAAAUCCCCGGGCUCAACCGUGGGAAAUCUAGAGAUACUGCUUGUCUUGAGACCGGGAGAGGUUGGAGGUACUCCUAGGGUAGGGGUGAAAUCCUGUAAUCCUAGGGGGACCACCUGUGGCGAAGGCGUCCAACUGGAACGGGUCUGACGGUGAGGGACGAAACCUAGGGGAGCGAGCCGGAUUAGAUA
rnacentral:rRNA from 1 species